rnacentral:rRNA from 1 species
AAAGCUCUUUCGGCGGGGAAGAAAUUGCACGGGUUAAUACCCUGUGUAGAUGACGGUACCCGAAUAAGAAGCACCGGCUAACUACGUGCCAGCAGCCGCGGUAAUACGUAGGGUGCGAGCGUUAAUCGGAAUUACUGGGCGUAAAGCGUGCGCAGGCGGUUUGGUAAGUCAGAUGUGAAAUCCCCGGGCUCAACCUGGGAACUGCAUUUGAGACUGCCAGGCUGGAGUUUGGCAGAGGGGGGUGGAAUUCCACGUGUAGCAGUGAAAUGCGUAGAGAUGUGGAGGAACACCGAUGGCGAAGGCAGCCCCCUGGGCCAAUACUGACGCUCAUGCACGAAAGCGUGGGGAGCAAACAGGAUUAGAUACCCUGGUAGUCCACGCCCUAAACGAUGUCAACUAGGUGUUGGGAGGGUUAAACCUUUUAGUGCCGUAGCUAACGCGUGAAGUUGACCGCCUGGGGAGUACGGCCGCAAGGCUAAAACUCAAAGGAAUUGACGGGGGAG